CAAGAGACAAAGGUAGGAUGGCCCAAAUUAAAACAAAUAUGUACAAUGUUGGGAUUUGCAAGCUUGUUUGUAGUGGCGCUGAAUGGGUUGAGUGGGGUUCUUGCUUUGUUAUGGAUGGAGAAGGAUAUGUAUUUGUUGCUUGGGUAUGAUGAGCAUCACAUUGAUGUUCAAGUUCAGUUUACAGGAGUCCCUACUUCCUGUUAUAUCAAAAUUUUUAUGGUUUUCUAGCAGCUUUGGAUAGAUGGUGAUAGGUUUUAUUUUUAUAGCUAAUUUUAGCAAUUUUUAUUUAGGUUUUCAUUUAAGUUUUUUUAAUUUUUA
rnacentral:lncRNA from 1 species